rnacentral:tRNA from 1 species
CGCCGGGUGGCCCAACUGGCAGAGGCACUCGAUUUAAGCUCGAGUAGUUGAGGGUUCAAAUCCCUCCCCGGCGA